UUACAAUCCAAGUUGCAAUAUAACGGUAAAAGCAAAAUAUUGAAGCCCAUGUACAUACGUUUAAAAAUUCAAAAGUCAAGAACCAAGUACAUAUGUUUUACAAUCCAAAUGUUAAAACAGUUUCAAAAUAUUUGAUAACAAAAGAUUCCUAGAGCAUUUAGAGUUUCAACAAUAAUUCAAAUUUUUAAGGAGGAUCUUCAUUGCGUUGAUCUUCCCUUUCUUCAUGUUCUCCACCUACAAAAAAGGAUAUAUAAAAUCAUUAUCUCUUUAAAUGCAAGUUAGCAAUGCAAAUACAAAUGAAAGGUCAAUACUUUUAAAGGAUUUAAGAAUGCCAGACACAAGGCAAUGCCAUUUGUCUCCUUGUUAGUAUGGAAAAAAUCUAGCUUAGUAAUUAUAUAACCAUGGAAUCAAAAUUUUGUAAACUAAGUACUGAAGCAAAGAUGAUAUAGGCACCACUGAGGUCUGAGGCAGAGAGGCCUCUCUAGCUACAACGAAAUACAUCUAACUAAACUACAUUAUCUAUCACAUUCGAACAAGGUAAGAUUCAAGCAAUCAAUGAUCUUGGCCCUGGGAUGGAGGCCAGGUUAAUAUAGACAAGCACAACAAUGAUUCCACUUAUUCCCCUCAAGAGUAAAUGUGUUGACUAUUACCAUUACCACAAUAUAUUAACAACCACACAGUACAACAUCAGAAAGCAUUUAAGCAAUUUAUCCAGCACAAGAGGGUCUUGAAUAACAGAAGGCUACAUUAUGCGACGUCACAAAAAAGAACAUUGAAUGUGCAAUGCUCCAAAAAAAUAUUGCCUAUGUUGUUGACACUCAUCAUCAGGAUAAUAGAAGAUUACUUUGAAGUUUACAACAAAAUACUGAUACAUAGAGGGUUUCUUUUUGUUUUCUUCUUGCUUUCACGGUAAGUAAAGUAUUAACUAAUACAUGUGGUUGUGUUAAGCGAAGCUACUUUCCCUUAAUUAUGAUUUAAGCGUUGGAUGCAUGUUUUCAUCCAUAGAGGGACUGCCAUCGUUGAGGUUUUCUAAACAGCAUUAGCAGUAGAAGGUAAACAACAAAAUCAAAUACUAUUCCUCUCAUCACAGAAUAGACUAUGUAGGAAGAUAUGUCUACCCCCACACUGAGUGCCCUCUUCCAAGUCCUAUCUCUAUUGCAAAAUAUAUUGUCUUCCCCGUGGUCACACCCAAGCCCAGUACUUCUAUCCUAUAUUGACAUGUCCAGUUAAUACCAAGAACCCUUCCAUGUCCAAAGGAAAAUUCUUGUUAUCCUGAUUCCAGACAGACUAUAGAGUCAGAUCAAUUCUUACAUGAAAAUCAAGAAAGGUAGAGCUAACUGGGCAAUAAAACCUGUAUAUUACUCAAGAAUGCAACUAAGCAUGUACAUUGAACAGAGCAGACAUAAACAGAACAGAUAAAAGAAUAUUUGAAAAUUUACUGAACUUGUAAUUUAUGAGCAUGAAAUGGAACAUUAACGAGAGCCAAAAGGAAAGAACAAAAAAUAACAAAUUUGGCCUGUUAACUGCUCACACUGCCCAGACCAUCUACCAAUUAGUUUACAUAAGCACAGUGAUAUCCUUCAUGUUUCAAAUAGUACAUGAGCAAAAAGAAAUUAAGAAAUAAUUUUAGCACUCAAAUGAAUAAUGAAAAGAACAUAUUGCAUGAUGUCCAAUAAAGCUAAAGUAAUC
rnacentral:lncRNA from 1 species